GAUGAACGCUGGCGGCGCGCCUAACACAUGCAAGUCGAACGAUUAAAGCACCUUCGGGUGUGUAUAAAGUGGCGAACGGCUGAGUAACACGUGGGCAACCUGCCCCUUUCAUUGGGAUAGCCACGGGAAACCGUGGAUAAUACCGAAUACUUCGAGACUUCCGCAUGGAAGACUCAAGAAAGCUCCGGCGGAGAGGGAUGGGCCCGCGGCCUGUUAGCUUGUUGGUGGGGUAACGGCCUACCAAGGCAAUGAUGGGUAGCUGGGUUGAGAGACCGACCAGCCAGAUUGGGACUGAGACACGGCCCAGACUCCUACGGGAGGCAGCAGUGGGGAAUCUUGCACAAUGGGCGAAAGCCUGAUGCAGCGACGCCGCGUGCGGGAUGAAGGCCUUCGGGUUGUAAACCGCUUUCAGCAGGGACGAGGCGAAAGUGACGGUACCUGCAGAAGAAGCCCCGGCUAACUACGUG
rnacentral:rRNA from 1 species